UUCCUAGGGUUUUGAACAAGUUAACCUCUCCCCAAAAUUGACCGUCACGUUCCAUAUCUCCCAACAGGGCUUAGCAAUUCGCGGCUAUUUGAUUUUGAAGAACUGAUCCUACUUUCGUGAUUGCCAUAAAUACAGAUCACAUAUUUGGUUGGAAUUCAUGUUUUGGAGUUGAGUAACUGGUGCACAAAUUGGAAAGAAAUGAGUCAAUUUUGGAUUGUGGUGAGAAGAUCAAGUUACUUGUUGACAAGACAGAAACCUUCAAUUUCAGAUUGAAAAGCUGAACUUGGCUGUGAAGAAGAAGAUCAUCAAGCAAAAAGGAAAAAGAGGAAGACCAAGAAAGGUUAAAUGGGGUGAAAGUGAGGUUGUUGGCCGAAAAAGAUAAGGUGGAUAAAGAAGCUAUGCUCAAUAAGAUGACACAAAUUGAAGAUAUGUUAACAGCUACGGUUCGAAGAUAGGCUAUAAACACUAGGUUUUGAAUGUUGAGAUGUUUAUCAUAUAGGAUAAUUACGGUUAUUUGAUGUUUAGUUGAUAUUUUUAUUAGAAUGUUUUAUAUGAUUUUCAAAUAGGAAAAACUAAAUCAGAGAUGUUUUAUAUAGUUUUUGGGGUUUGUAAUUUUAUUAGAGUGUUUAAUACAGUUCUGUAAUUUUAAUGAAGAAAUGUAAAAACUGUAAAGCAGGUCUUGAAACAAAACGGAAAUGAUACCUGUUAACCUAAAAAUUCAAUGAAAAAGAACUUUAAAUGGUAGCAAAAUUUCAAUGAAAGCGGUGGCUAAAUGGUGGCAAUACCCGAGGCUAUAUGCUACCAAAAUG
rnacentral:lncRNA from 1 species